UACGUAGGGGGGCAAGCGUUUGUCCGGAUUUAUUGGGCGUAAAGAGCGUGUAGGCGGCCAUACAGGUCAGCUGUGAAAACUCGAGGCUCAACCUCGAGACGUCGGUUGAAACCGUAUGGCUAGAGUCCGGAAGAGGAGAGUGGAAUUCCCGGGUGUAGCGGUGAAAUGCGCAGAUAUCGGGAAGAACACCCGUGGCGAAGGCGGCUACUCUGGGCAUUAACUGACGCUGAGGAGCGAAAGCAUGGGGAGCGAACAGG
rnacentral:rRNA from 1 species